GCAGCAGGCGCGAAACUUACCCACUCGAGACUUUCGGAGGUGGUAAUGACCAGUUACAUGUCAACCUUUUUGGUUGUUUGUAUAGGAUUGCACUUUUCCAGUGCAGUGAAACCUAGCAGAGGGCCAGUCUGGUGCCAGCAGCUGCGGUAAUUCCAGCUCUGCGAGUCUGCUCCCAUAUUGUUGCAGUUAAAACGCUCGUAGUCAGAACUGCCUGCAAAGGCGUACGAACAUCUGUUCGUUCACUGUGAACAAAUCAGGACGCUUAGUGUAUGGUUUUAGGAAUGACUUAGCGCAGUAUGAUAUCUUUACCUUUGGUAAGAUCAAUGAGAGCCACCGGGGGUAGAUCUAUUUCAUGGCGAACGGUGGAAUGUUUUGACCCAUGAGAGAGAAACGAAGGCGAAAGCAUCUACCUAGAGGGUUUCUGUCGAUCAAGGGCGAGAGUAGGAGUAUCCAACCGGAUCAGAGACCCGGGUAGUUCCUACCUUAAACGAUGCCGACAGGGGCUUGUCCUUUUAUGAGGGCAGGACCUUAGGAGAAAUCAUAGUUCUUGGGCUCUGGGGGAACUACGACCGCAAGGCUGAAACUUGAAGGAAUUGACGGAAGGGCACACCAGGGGUGGAGCUUGUGGCUUAAUUUGAAUCAACACGGGGAAACUUACCAGGACCAGAUGUUUUUAAUGACUGACAGGCUUCGGGUCUUUCAGGAUAUGACUUUUGGUGGUGCAUGGCCGUUGGUGGUGCGUGGGUUGACCUGUCAAGCGUUGAUUCAGAUAACGAGCGAGAUUAUCGCCAAUUAAGUACUCGUUUCUGUUUACAGAGAUAGAGUUCUAAUUGGGACUCCCUGCGUAUCAAGCAGGAGGAAGAGGGUAGCAAUAACAGGUCCGUGAUGUCC
rnacentral:rRNA from 1 species